GACGAACGCUGGCGGCGUGCUUAACACAUGCAAGUCGAACGGAAAGGCCCUGCUUUUGUGGGGUGCUCGAGUGGCGAACGGGGGAGUAACACGUGAGUAACCUGCCCUUGACUUUGGGAGAACUUCACGAAACUGGGGCUAAUAUCGGGUAGGAGCUCCUGCUGCACGGGGGGGGUUGGAAAGAUUCGGCGUUGGUGGAUGGACUCGCUGCUUAUGAGCUUGAUGGUGAGGUAGGGGCGUACCAAGGCUUUGACGGGUAGGCGGCCUGGGAGGGUCAACGGGCACAAUGCGACUGCGAUACGGAGCAGUAUCCUACGGGACGCAGUAGUGGGGAGUCUGACACAACGGCCCGAAGCCUGAUGCAGAAACGUCGCGUGCGGGAUGCCGGCUUUCUGGUUGUAAACAAAUUUCGACUGUGACGAAGCGUGAGUGACGGUAAUGGGUAAAGAAGCACCGGCUAACUACGUG
rnacentral:rRNA from 1 species